UCCUAAACCCGAUUGCAAUGUAAAGCCCGGAGCGCAGCGAGGACUUGGAAUGCAAAGCGGGACAGCAU
rnacentral:misc_RNA from 1 species